rnacentral:rRNA from 1 species
GACGAACGCUGGCGGCGUGCCUAAUACAUGCAAGUCGAGCGAAUGAAAGAGAAGCUUGCUUCUCUGGAUUUAGCGGCGGACGGGUGAGUAACACGUGGGCAACCUACCUUAUAGAUGGGGAUAACUCCGGGAAACCGGGGCUAAUACCGAAUAACUCCAAGCACCUCCUGGUGCUUGGUUGAAAGACGGUUUCGGCUGUCACUAUAAGAUGGGCCCGCGGCGCAUUAGCUAGUUGGUAAGGUAACGGCUUACCAAGGCAACGAUGCGUAGCCGACCUGAGAGGUUGACCGGCCACAUUGGGAAUGAGACACGGCCCAGACUCCUACGGGAGGCAGCAGUGGGGAAUUUUGGGCAAUGAGGGAAACCCUGACCCAGCGACGCCGCGUGGAGGAUGAAGGCCUUCGGGUUGUAAACUUCUUUGGCCAGGGACGAA